rnacentral:tRNA from 1 species
GCGUCCAUCGUCUAAUGGAUAGGACGGAGGUCUUCUAAACCUCCGGUAUAGGUUCAAGUCCUAUUGGACGU